rnacentral:rRNA from 1 species
CUACGGGCUGCUCCAGUGAGGAAUUUUGCGCAAUGGGGGGAACCCUGACGCAGCAACGCCGCGUGAGUGAUGAAGGCUUUCGGGUCGUAAAGCUCUGUCAAGUGGGAAGAACCUAUGCAGUGUUAAUAUCACUGUAUACUGACGGUACCACUGAAGGAAGCACCGGCUAACUCCGUGCCAGCAGCCGCGGUAAUACGGGGGGUGCAAGCGUUAUUCGGAAUCAUUGGGCGUAAAGGGCACGUAGGCGGCUUGGUAAGUCAGAUGUGAAAGCCCGGGGCUUAACCCCGGAAGUGCAUUUGGUACUGUCAGGCUUGAGUAUGGGAGAGGGAAGUGGAAUUCCUGGUGUAGAGGUGAAAUUCGUAGAUAUCAGGAGGAACACCGGUGGCGAAGGCGACUUCCUGGACCAAUACUGACGCUGAGGUGCGAAGGCGUGGGUAGCAAACAGGAUUAGAUACCCCAGUAGUC